rnacentral:misc_RNA from 1 species
AUAAUAAUAAUAAUAAUAAUUUUUUAAUUUUCGUUUUCGUUAGGGAAUCAACUUUCCAAACUUCAAUUCAUGUUCAACACUGUUGAUCUUAUGGCCAAAUUGUAUUUGGCCAAAUUCAAGAAUUUUACCCCUUUUUUUUAGCUAUUUUCCUUUGAACACGAUUUUUCGUGAAAUUCCCAUAACUGUUCUUCAAUUUCAUGAAAUCUUAAUGAAAUUCGGUUAACUUUAAACUUUUAUUAUUAUUAUUAUUA